AAGUCGUAACAAGGUUUCCGUAGGUGAACCUGCGGAAGGAUCAUUACCUAGAGUUUGUGGGCUUUGCCUGCUAUCUCUUACCCAUGUCUUUUGAGUACCUUACGUUUCCUCGGCGGGUCCGCCCGCCGACUGGACAAUUUAAACCAUUUGCAGUUGCAAUCAGCGUCUGAAAAACUUUAAUAGUUACAACUUUCAACAACGGAUCUCUUGGUUCUG
rnacentral:misc_RNA from 1 species